UCAGGCCUAACACAUGCAAGUCGAACGGCAGCACGGACUUCGGUCUGGUGGCGAGUGGCGAACGGGUGAGUAAUGUAUCGGAACGUGCCUAGUAGCGGGGGAUAACUACUCGAAAGAGUAGCUAAUACCGCAUACGCCCUACGGGGGAAAGGGGGGGAUCGCAAGACCUCUCACUAUUAGAGCGGCCGAUAUCGGAUUAGCUAGUUGGUGAGGUAAAGGCUCACCAAGGCGACGAUCCGUAGCUGGUUUGAGAGGACGACCAGCCACACUGGGACUGAGACACGGCCCAGACUCCUACGGGAGGCAGCAGUGGGGAAUUUUGGACAAUGGUGGCAACCCUGAUCCAGCCAUUCCGCGUGUGCGAUGAAGGCCUUCGGGUUGUAAA
rnacentral:rRNA from 1 species